UCGAUGCCAACUGUAGUGUAUUAUUAUUAUGAUAUCAUGCAAUGUUCAUCUCACUAGUAAGCCUAAGUAUGACCAGGGGCAUGUUCGGGUCAGGGUCUGUGGGAUUGUUUGAGGCUUGGGCCAGGAAGGUAGACUCAUUGGCGCCGGACACAUCUGGCUUCCAUUAACAAACUGAUAAGAUACACAGGAUGUAGAGAGGGGGGGCAACGGCGGGGUCAUAGGUCAGCCAACAGCCCCAUCUGCGCGCUCCCGCGUGGAGGGAAGCGCAAGAGUAUAAGGUUUAGGACGAGAGUAGACAAAGGGACUCGACAUCUUGGCUAGGGCGCGAGACACUUCUCUCUGACAUCGGUUGAAUAAAAUCUUUCCCCAAUCAGCCAUGUGUGACUGAAGUUUUCCUUCCCCAAGCCAGCCACUUUUUCACCAUCUUGUUUGGAAGACCAGCUGACCAUCGAAGAGAAUUCACCACAAUUUUGGCGUCACGAACAGUUCUCUUGUCCUUCGGGGAGCCCUCGCCCGCCUGGGUGCGAGCAUUGAGCGUCCGGCCGGCAGGCUGAGUUUGAGGUGAGAAGCUUUCACUCACAGUAUCGCAAUGUGCUCGUGCCUGGUGUGGGGGGGGAUGGAGUGGCUCCUAAGCGGGACAGUUAACGGGCCUGGUGUGCCAGUGGCUGGCAAAAAGGGGGGGGGGAUUUGUCUCCCCUAGCUGGAUGUCGACGAGAUGUGGAUUUUGAAAGGGGGGAGUAUAGCCCCAAUAGAAAAAUGAAAAUGUACAAAAAAAAAAUAAAAUAGAAAAAAAGAAAAAAGGCAAAUAAAAAUGGGAAAAUAGCAUAAAACUUAAUGGGGAAUGUGCACAACAGUGUGAGUGACAUGUCUGGUGUGAAUGAUGAAUGAGAAAGAAAAUGCUCCGAGAGAGGGCACGUGAAACAGGACAGGAUGUCUGGGACAUCGCUGAUCGGCUGUCACGAGAGAAGAAUAAUAGAAAGUCCCAUAAAACGUGGACUUUGUUUUGGCUACAGAUCCGAUGGAGGAUGGAAAUUUUAGCUGUGUGAUUGAGGCGGAAACACAGGUACGAUUGAACACUGUGUGCGACAAGAGACGGGCACCACCAAGCCACCGGAGGCAUAAUUUCCGGGGUCGUGCUGGGACGUUGAGAUCACACUCAAUGUAGUUGAGAUCACACUCAAUGUGGUCGAGAUGUCCGGUGGGGGCAUUUGUCUCUAUAUAUAGGUCGCACGAAAAAGGGAGGCUUGCUGCAGACCGCAAUUGGCAAAGCGGAGGAGUGCGCAGCCUUGGCAUCCGUAACUGUGUGAACGAAUGUGGGAAAUUUACCGGCUGGGUCUGGGACCAGGGUGCCGAGAAGGAUGAUGCGCGCAGACCACGUUAUUUGAGCACUGAUCAGAUUAGGAGUUUGUGCGGGUUGCAAGGUUCCCCCGGCUGACAGCUGGUGCGUUAGCCGCUUAGAGAGAUACUCUUCGGGCAACUUACCGGGGCGAACUGGUGCGCUGCGGUUGUACCCAAGUCGCCACGGUCCGAUUCCGAUUGGCGAGGCGCACUGUAAUAGCGCACACUCCUGUCAAAGUCUGAUAAAAUUUACGGCUUGCAGCAGACCGCAAUUGGCAGAGCGGAGGAGUGCGCAGCCGAUAGAAAUUGGAAAACGUGGAAAAAGAGGCCUCAGGGGGGUUAAUCUUGGUAUACCAUGUAAAAAAAAAAAAAAAAAAAAAAAAAAGUAAUUUGUGUGCACACUGAAGUUAAAAAUCUGCAGUAUAAGGGGAAAUGCAAAGCGCUCUUAGGGGAAACAAAGACAAGAAGUACAAAGGGCAUGUUUGUACGUGCACCUGCGCACGGUAAGAAGACACAAAAUGACCAAACCGCAUGGAAGCGGUUAGUGAGAAGCUACAUGAGAGAUGGAUUCGAAUCCCUUUGCCUGUGUUCUAUGUUGUGCGUAAUGUCUGUAAAGUUUCUGUCAGUUGUCGUCGUUCGUCUAAGCGGUGUGCGCGCUUGGUGUAUGGGGUGUGCGUGCGCGCGGAUGGGUGUGUGCAUGUGCGGUUGUGUGCGCGCUCGGUGUGUGUGCGUUUAUGUGCACACGCAUGGGAGACGGCAGUGAGAGAAGAGAGGAGGGGGCCCUGGGUGCUCCAAGGCGCGGAAUGGUGCUCUGACGGCAAAGGUGGGGGCCGGCGAGACGCGCGGGCCUGGCCAGCCCGUGGAGUCAACAUUGGUACGCUGACCCCCCCUUGUCCGAGGGCGCUGUGCCGAGGAGCCCGCAAAGGCGAGGCUGGGUCCCCCCGGUAGAGGUCAAUGUCGAUGAGAACUGAGACAUGACGAGGGGAGAUCAAAUGUGGAUGAGCAAAGGGUGCAUGAUUAACAAUGAACGUGCAUGAUUGAAACUGAAACUUCACUGGCACUAAUGUUGAACAGUUUGCAAAUAGGCAAGAGAGAGACAUGCUUGCAAUACUCACUAAAAUACUAAUGUUUGUGUACCUGUGUGUCUUAAGAAAAGAGUUGGGCCGUGGCAGCAGUGAUCUAUGGCAGGACGCUACACAUUCGGCCCAAGACCGAUAGGUGGGGGGAGAAAGUGAAGAAAGGGGGGUUCGCUCGUAAAUUAAGAGGGAGCCUGUUGAGGGCGGCCAGCGCCCCUAGUCCAUCUGACAACUAAUGAGAAAGUGAGUGAUUACGUUAACUUGAACGAGAUUGCUAUUUCUCCUGUUUGCAUAACAAAUACGAGACGGUGCACGCGCACGUCUCCUCCCAGAGGACAAAGAGACACGGACAGAACUCCCAGGUCGUCUGAGGAAAAGCUUCGUGGAGCGCUGCCCCCAAAUUCUUCACUAAUUUACGUCAGGACGCCACAAAUGCGGCCAGAGACAGAUAGAAAGAGGGAGUGAGAGAAGAAAGGGGGGGCUAACUCGUAAAUAAUGAGGAGAUAUUGGGAGUAAUCUAUUGGUCCUUUCUUUAACACCCUUUAAAUCAUUUCCUGGAGUAGAUAGGUUAGCAACACGAGGGAUUUAGAGGUUCAACAGAAAGACAGUUAAAAGACAAUAACAUUUUUGAUUUGAACAAUUGCAGGCUAACAGGAGCAUGAGAGAGGAGAGCUGAGAAGCGGGAUCCACUUUGAUCGAGGAGAUUGGAAAUUCACAGCACAUAUUCUAAGUCGCAUUUUUGAGCAAGCAUGACACAGGUAAUAACGCGUGAGAGAUCAAGACAUAGAUCAGGGCUAGUUGUGGGACGCAGACCUCGGAGUUAAUUUUGAAUAAUGAUACUGAAGACACAAUGUACUGUCCCAUUAAAUUGGAACUAUAGACAAAACGUAGCUCGACAAUAGGAUGAGUUGCAGGACUUACAAUAUAAAGACGACAUUGCUGUUACUAGGAGAAUUCGACUUUUGGUAAACAAACGUUACUAGUGAAUGGAGGGCAGCAGCUACAUUUGGAGAUAGCCUUACAAGUUUGGUGUCCCAGUCUGUCUCUCUCAGUGCCAGGAUCCCUGAAAACUCGACCCCGAGACUCCGCCUGCAGCCGCGGACGACUACAAGACGGUGCCUGGCUUUGAGGCACCUUUGACCUUUGGCAAGGACAAAGUAAGACUGUUGUUGUGCUUGGAGGGGGCAUGUACACUCCGGAGGAUAGACAACAUCCUCGGAGACGAGAAAAGACAGUGAGAAGUGGAGGAACUCACAAUGUUGAAGGAAAAAUGGACAUUUGAACAAUGGACUCAUUCGAGAGUGAUGGAUGUGUUGGCUCUGAAGCAACAACAAAAGGACACCAUCUUGAGAGGGUGAGGUGCGGCAGAAGAUAUGGACUUGAAAUGUCCGACGGCCAAAUCGCACUCCUGGCGGUGCUAAGACCUCGUGGGGCUUGGGUUAGAGUGGACAGGAGCUUCAUUGUGCACUGGGUUUGACAGAACUGAGGAGAUUUGAUAAAGGAUUGAAUAAUGCGUUGAGCUACAGAGAGAAGCAUCAUGGUCAGAGAUUGAACAGAUUUGAAUAAAACAAAUGGGCUAAAACGGUGAGAAACAAGAGCGAGAUCUGAUGUUUUGGCUCACCAGACAUGAGAAGUAGAAAUCGAGUUAGAUAAAUUUUAGAAUGGGACAUCUAGACCAGGGGUCCCCAAACUUUUUCCUGUGAGGGCCACAUAACCUUUCCCUUCUCUGAUGGCGGGCCGGUGGCAGUUUGUAACAGAAAAAGUGUGACGAUCGUAGGGGAGCUUAAAAAAAUUAUUGUUUUCCAGAAAGCCACACAUAACCAAAUAACGGUUAUUUAAUAACCCUUUCCAGGUUCUUUACAGAAAAAAAGUCAGGAAACAAAUAAUAACACUAUUAAUGAAAUAAAUAAUAACUAAACCCUCUCUGAGUUCUUCACAGAAAAAACAGGAAAUAAAUAACUAAAUAACUCUCUCUGGGUUCUUCAUAGAAAAAAAACCAUGGAACAUUAACUUUCUGUUGUGCCAUGCACAAUCUUAACAGAUAAAAGUUCAGCUCAGUUGUCAGAGCAGAACCUCUCUGACACAUAUGAGCAGUCUCUUAAAGUUCUUGUGUUCCUUCCUUAUAAUCCUUUUGUAGGUUCCAGUAGGCUUGUAGAUACUGCUGUCUUUUUUGUUAAAGUUUGAUAGUGCGUCAUAGUCUGGAGUAAAAUUUGUUGUGGCAAUUCUUAGGCGAGAUCCGAGGUGUUGGUCCGUUUACCUCGAUCUGUGACGGGUAGAUGUUGACGUUCAUGUGGCUGAACGUCACGUCGCGUACGUCGAGCCAAAUUGGCAACUCUUUUAAACGCUCGGCACUGUUCACCCUGCUUUACUUGGGCGACAUUUUAACGGAAGGAUUCCAGGGGAAGGUUUGUGGGUGGCUUUAGCGCAAAACUGCAUCUGAAAGCUCAGCGCGCAAAUUACAAGAAUGCUGUCGUCACAGCCCACGCUCUAAAUUCGGGACUGAUACAAAUAGAGCGCGAGUGCGCCAUGUCCGUACACGCACUUGUGAGUGUGCACCGAGCUUUCUGACACGGCUUCCGGUAGUAAAUGCGCAGGCGAGCGCUUCCCCAUCUACUGGGGAAACGCAGUCAUUGCAGGCAAAAUGAGCAAAAAAAAAAAAAAAAAGUUUAAUAAUACAAUUUAUUCAGGGUUGGCGGGCCGGAUUAAACGGUCCCGCGGGCCGUAUCCGGCCCGCGGGCCGUAGUUUGGUGACCCCUGAUCUAGACUAAAGUGGAUUCAGCCAAGAAGAAGCUAGGACGCUCGAUGUACCUACUCAAUACGAUAGAAGUUUGUUGCACCAUAGUGGAGGUUGGGUAGUCAGAAAGUUGGAUCCGUUAAAUUUUUGACUUUCACACAUUCAUGCAUAGGAGUCGCACAAGGCCACAGGUAACAAGAUAAUGACUGAGAUAGGGCUCAAAUUCAACUGCACCCACACGGCAAUGUAGAAGCAGGAGAGCGGAGUAAGGGAUUAUAUGAUAAACAGUCCGCUGUAGGGUUACCAAUAGGAGAUUCUGUCAAAAGAACUACUAAGAGGUGGAGGCGAAGAUAAUAGGAGGACGUAGAUAUUCGAAGGUCUGAUAAGGGAAAACUCCAUUGUCAAAGGUCGGAUUGGAGCAAGUAGGAAUUUGCCAUUUUAACAGGGAUUGACAGCAGGAGAGAUUGAGGAUAGAAGAUCUGGACAGCAAUGACGUAGGUUACAUUAAAAACUGCUCAUUCGAGGGAGAAGGCUCGGCGCUCCCUGUGUGGAGCUGCAGCUUUGCAGAAGGGGGGCAGACCGCGCGAGUGAGGAGUGGUGAUAGGCGACCACAAGGAAGUAGGGAGAGGUGUUGGAUGGUGUGACAGGCAGGAGUUUUAGGAAGAGGAAGAAAAGAAAAAGGGGGGAAUGAGACUCGCCAAGAGGGGCAAUAAAGAGAAGCAGACUGAGAAACAGUUUUGAGCAAGACAACGGGGAAAAAGGGGGAGAGCCAAAUGAUGACGUAAAAAGCCAGAGAGAAUAGUCUGACCCAUCUUUAUUGAAUUUAAUUAACAUAAGUAAUAGAGAUCGAGUUUGUAGGACCAAUACGAGGGCAUGGAGGCUCCCUCAAAACGCGGGUCCCACAGUUAGUCCCUCAGAUAGACAUAUAUGACAAUUUGCGAUGAAUCUGAUGGGCGAGUUUAUGGAAAAUUGAAUUGGAGAUUUUACAAUAGGUCAUGUUGACGAGUAUGUCCGAAUGUGAAGAGUCACUAUUAGGAGUCAAUAUUUGCCUACACACUAACAUACUAACUUUGCUUGGUUUGGGGGGAGAGCUGAGUGAUAGAGACGGAUGAGUGUGUCUGUGAGUGUGUGGAUGGGUGAGUGCGCAUGUGAUCAUCUACGGCUGUGUGUGCGCAGUAUGAUUGGCCAGAGAGGUCUGAAGUUGGAUGAUGUGUUUGCCAUUGAGGAUAAAAUUCCUCUCACCUGAAGGGGUGGUGCAGAUCGGAGGGACUGGAACUGGUAAGUGAUGAGUUCCGAUCGCAACCAUGGUUCAAUGAUCAAUCAGGGGCACCAUCGACAACCAAACGGUUCGAUGGAGAAGGCCCGUUUCUGUGAUAUGGUCAGACAAGACGGAACUAGUAUUGAACAUCAAGACUUUGGACGAUUUGACGUGUGACGACCUUGUGCUCACCCGACGGGGUGACGGACUAGGUGGACAGUGACCAAAUGUUUGACGCUUGGGCUUGCUUGCGACAUGAGCGAGCUCUGCUUUGUUUUUCUGUGUGACUUGAUUUUUUGCAGCAGCAGCAACGGCCGCCAGCCAAGGAGCGGAUUGCGCGCUGCUUGCGUAACUUGUUUUCGUUCUUGCAGGUUGUCAAUUGCGUUCGUGGAACGUUUGUGUUGAAUUUACGAGAGUAUGUUAACCCUUGCCCUUUUGGUUUUUAUAAUGAACUUGUUGAUUACAUGGUUUUCAGGACAGGAUCCCCGAGCGCCAGGAUUCAUUUUAUGACUGUUUUUGUUUUGAUACUUGAUGUCUGUUUUUGUGUGUACAAAUGUCCGCUGUCAGCAGGGCUAUAAGCUCACUGACAAGAGUGCGCUGAUUUUUGUGUGUGUUGCCGAGUGUGUGGUGGACAGUCAAGUUUCAGAGACUUGGGGUGACGGUCCCGGGGCCCAGAUGGAAGCUAGAGGUUCCGUGGGCCUGGCUACAAUGAGUGUGGUGAUGAGAGGGGACGCUUUGCUGGUUCCUUUUGAUACGUAAUGACACAUUAAGUGAAUGUGUCAAAAGGGGGGAGUGGUAGAACAGAAAGGGCUUUAACAGGACACGCCAGAAUUCAACUAGCAGUGAUGGAAGGAGCAGAAGAAGCAUCUUGAAAGAAAGGGAGUUAACGGGAGACAACAGCCUGGAAUGGAUGCGAAGCGUGGUAACAAUUUAGUGACAAUAAGGUUUAAGGUUUUUCAAUGACAAAGUGCGAAGGACAAAUCAUACAGUGAUUUGGGAAUGGACAGUGGCACAAUACACAACGAAAGUUUGGAAGGUUAUUGAAUGUGAGGAAGACGGGGCCAGAGACAAGGAAGGGGGAAAUUUCUGAACGCGUGACUGCAUUAAAGCUGCUAUUACAGGGCAAAUGUUUAAUUAUACAUUUUAGGACGAGUAGUUUGCAUAACGAAUACGGAGAGGAUUUGAGUGGCUGUACCGUUUUGGAAAGAUUACGUGAGCGUUGUUUCAGAAUGAUGACUGGUUUGAACAGUGAGGUGGCUCGAACAUAAGGCACGGAUACAUAAAGGUAGGAAACUACAGUAUUGUGAGGGGUACCGGUUUGAGAAUGCUACACAUCUUUAGACUGAAGAAGGAAUUUGGGGGUGACAAAUAGUAUUUGGACGGGAAAAAGAGCGGCUGAAGUGACAUGACUGACGGGACUUCAGAAAGAUGACAGUGUGAUUGAGACAGUGACACCUGCGACAGGAAAGGCUACCAGGAACAGGUAGAAUUUACAUUGUGACUGGGGGGAUCUAGCAACGCUGUCGGCACGACGAGAAAUGAGGGGAAUGAGUCCUGGAGUGUUUGCUUGUUUGUUUGCUUGUUUGUUUGUUUGUUUGUUUGUUUGUUUGUUUCAGGGACCGCGUGGGCCUCUGGAAACGAGGGGUAGGUGUCGGGAGCCCUCGGGCGUUCUGAUGAGAUUUUGAUGAGACGAUUGACACAGCUUUUUCCUCGUUGCCCCAUCACCGCCAAAUAAUUAUUUGAGGGGGCUGGAAACACUGGAGCUAUCGGGUUGUGUUGCCCUGCCAGCGGUGGCCGUCGGGGCCGGAAGGACGUCCGGCCUGGGCUGCUACCUUUGACAUUAUGACUCCACAUGUUCGCACUGUUAAAGUCACUCGAUACAGACAGUAGCUUUAGCUUGUCAUAGGUCGCCUGGCUGCUGACCGGGGCCUUGCACGGGAUUCAACGGCCAUCAUAAGCAACAGGAGGACACUGAACGGACAGCCGGCCCGGGACGGUGCCGUCUACUACUAGUGCUAUUUUCCACUGACGGAUCAGGGGACUGGAUUUCAUAUCUGCACGCACUUGUGCAUGCGAGGGGGGCAGCGCAACAACGGGUUUAAUGUUCUUGCAUGCUUUGACGAUUCGUUUUUAUAUACCUCACUGUGUUACCUCGUUGUUUUUGCCAUGUGGUUUACUUUAUUAUGUGACCUCAUUUGCUUGCCCCGUGGCAUGUUUACGAUACGACGUUGCAUGUUGAGCGAUCUGUAUUUGAGGGUCAUGGUUCUGCUUGUUGCUGUGUUUAGGGCUCAUGCUACGCUUUGUGAAAUGUGGUGUGUGCCGGAGCUCCCUUCACCUGACUCUCGCCAGGUGAGAGGCGCCUCCGGGGGCGUAGAAUGGGCCUCCCUCUUUUUCCUCGUCAUUAGAUUGGCGGGGUUUUUUCGACGGCGGUCCGGCAACUUUUUGGGGCUUCUAACGGGCCACAGCAAACUUUUCCUCUCCAAAUUGGUGGCGCUGGUGAUAUAUUACCUAAGGGGGGUGUGCGGACGGCGUCAAUCAGUUAAUGGGGUUGGGGGAUUCGAUCUUGGUCAAAUGUGGUUCCUGAGAGGCCUCAGAUUGCUGUCAGGGAGGAAUUUGCUAUUAAAUUAGGUUGAGCUUUCCUAGUUAAUGUAACCUUAAGUAGCAUGCCUUGAGCAUGGUUUAGGAUGAGACAAAUAGGUCCAAAUUGUAGACGAAAACCAUAAAAUGGUUGGGGGAAGGUUUUUGGAUGUACCGAUGUCUUUUCGUGUUGAGUUGUUGCCGGGGCACUUGUGGUACCCCGGCAGGGGGGAUUAUGUAGUGUAUUAUUAUUAUGAUAUCAUGCAAUGUUCAUCUCACUAGUAAGCCUAAGUAUGACCAGGGGCAUGUUCGGGUCAGGGUCUGUGGGAUUGUUUGAGGCUUGGGCCAGGAAGGUAGACUCAUUGGCGCCGGACACAUCUGGCUUCCAUUAACAAACUGAUAAGAUACACAGGAUGUAGAGAGGGGGGGCAACGGCGGGGUCAUAGGUCAGCCAACAGCCCCAUCUGCGCGCUCCCGCGUGGAGGGAAGCGCAAGAGUAUAAGGUUUAGGACGAGAGUAGACAAAGGGACUCGACAUCUUGGCUAGGGCGCGAGACACUUCUCUCUGACAUCGGUUGAAUAAAAUCUUUCCCCAAUCA